rnacentral:lncRNA from 1 species
UCAUAUAUAUGAUCUUCUUGCAUGUGUUUUUGAGUUUUACGGGUUAAAAAGUGUAUUAUAGUAUCUCAAUGGUUUGUGAUAAUGAAGGUAUAUUGGUAUUGGUGAAGAAGAGGAAGUGCAAUUGUUUUACUACUUUAUAAAGUCUGAGAAUAAUCCGAAAGAAGAUCCUCUUCUUCUCUGGUUGAGCGGUGGACCUGGUUGCUCUUCCACCACUGGUCUUUUUUUUGAGAACGGUAAAACUCUUUUUUUUUUUUUUUAAAUCAAACACAACAAAUGAAUUUGUAAUUUUUAUUUAUCUAAAUAAAUAUAGUUUUAAAAACACUUUGUUUAUAUUGAAAAUAAAUAAACAGGGCCUGUGACAUUCAAGGUUGAUGGUUACAAUGGAGGUAGCCCCACCUUGCUUUCUACUACAUAUUCAUGGACAAAGGUAACAUUAUACAUAGAGUGCUUGUCAUGUGGCUCGUUUUAGUAUUCUUGAUGUAGUUUUUCAAGUCUUAGAUUAAUUGUUUUUAGGUGGCGAACAUGAUAUUCUUGGACCAGCCUGUUGGGACUGGCUUCUCCUAUGCAAAAACUCAACUUCUUGAUACACCAAGUGACUCGGGAGAAGCUAAGCGGAUCCAUGAGUUUAUGCGUAAGGUAAACAAAAAUACAAACUUACUGUUUCUUAAAGCAUUUAUCUUGUUUUAGAAAGACAUCAUUUAGAGUGGUUUUGUUAUUAUUGUUUGUUGAAUGGUAAACAUGAAUCACCUGGUUAGCUCUAGUUAUUGACGUAUUGCUGGAUUCCAUUAUAGACGAGAAGUAUUAUCGAUAACACCGAUUGAGACUCAACAUCGCAUCGCCAUCUUCUUUUUUCUUUUGGUCUUCUCUCUUUUCAUUCUAUUCUUGAUUGAGUUACGGAAUUCUUUGUCUUCCUAUCGGUUUGGUUCUUGUUCGUAGACUAUCAAGCUUCGAUUUAGGCUUCAUGUUGAUACAUGUAUGGCAACAUAGUUUUUGUUGUUGUUGUUGUUAUACAGUGGCUAAGCAAGCAUAAAGAGUUUAUCUCAAAUCCUUUCUAUGUCUGCGGAGAUUCUUAUUCUGGUAAAGUUAUUCCGGCAACCGUUCAAGAAAUCUCCAAAGGUAUGUGUGUGUUCUUACAUACAUGAUACAUCUCUUUUCUUUCUAGGUGUUUUUUUUUUUUAAUUAUGUACUUUCCACAUUAUAACAGUUUUUACAUGAUGAUGUCGAGCGUGCAGGAAUUGAUCUUGGGUUCGAACCUCAAAUAAAUCUUGAGGUUUUAAACAUUUGUAGUUGGCUUCUUCCUAUUUAUAUACAAAAAUUUUGGAACGAAUUGACAAUUUCAUUUGAUCUCAAUAAUAGGGUUAUGUCAUAGGAAAUCCGGUAACAGACACCGAAGUUGAGCAUAACCUUCGCAUUCCAUUUGCUCAUGGAAUGGCAUUGAUCUCUGAUGAACUCUACGAGGUACAAAAAUGAAAAAUGCACCACAUUAAUGAAGUUAGAUAACCAAAAAACUUCGUUCUUUUGUGUGCAGUCGUUGAAGCGCAGCUGCAAAGGAAGUUAUGAAAAUGUAGAUCCAGUUAAUACAGAAUGCUUGAAUUUUGUUGAAGAAUACAAUAAGGUAUACGCUCUUCAUAGUGUUAUAUAUCAAGUGAAAAUUGUGGCCUCCCCAAGCAAGAAAAAAAAUGUGAACCAGAGGUGGUGGGCUAAUGGUUCUAGUAUAGUGGAAGAGUCAUUCAUGUUUGGAUAGAUAAUAAAUGAUGUUCUAGCUUAGAAAUAAAUAAAAAAAUAAAUUAUUUUUUAAUCUGUGUGCAUUCUCUUCAAACAUCAAAUAAAAAAGAACGGAAGGGGUAGAUUUUGAUUUUUUCAAAAAAAAUUUGUGUGGUAAAAUUUGCAGUGCAUUGCUAGGAUAAAUCAAAAUCUUAUUACAAGACCACUGUGCAAAGUUCUGUCAUCUCCAAAAAGAUACAUUGAAGAACUUGUCCUUCCAAGCCUUUCCGUUCCAUUUACUGAUUGCUAUGUAAGCAUUUCAUUUUCUUGCUCUUUGUCUAAUUUUAUGUUUACUAUCACAUAUAUAUGUUGGAAAAGUAAUGAACAACCAAAACCAUUGAGAUAGAAAUAUAUACACAAAAUUAAAUUUUCACCCACUUGAAGAGUUAUACAGAUUUGAUUUCUUCCAAUUGGGCCAAUGACGAGAGCGUUCGCAGAGCACUUCAUGUGGUAAAGGUAUAUAAUAUUAAUAUAUUAUACAUAACGAGUUUUGGUUUUAAGUCACAGUUUUAAAUUUUUAAUGCUAAAAAUACUAUCGAAACUCUAAUAUUUUGAAUGAUUUGAGUGUUGAUAAAAAAUUACUAAUAGUUUUUGGAUGAAUUUAGAAAAAUUAGAUUUGGAUGAAUUUAUAGUAUUAUUUUUAUUCAGAAAUCCUUUUAAACACACUAAAGUCAUUAGUAUAAAAGUAUGCUAGCUUAAAAUAUUUCUAACAGCAGUAGAUGUAAAAGUUUUUUUUCAAAUCAUAAUAGUCUUAAAAUUUUAAGAUAUAUAUUAAAAUAUAUUUAUAUUUAACAUAAAUUUCUAAAGUCGAUGAAGUUUUCUAAAAAUUUAUGACUAAUACAUUUGAAAUUUUUAAACGAAUGAUCAUUCCAUAUUUGAUUAAACAUACUUUAUAUUUAUGACUUAAGGGAAGUAUAAGAAAAUGGGUUCGAUGUGCUUCUUUCGAUACGCCUUAUAAUGUGGACAUUAAAAGCAGCGUACCAGACCAUAUGAAUAACAGUAUCAAAGGUUAUCGAUCUCUCAUCUACAAGUAAGAUUGAUGGAUUUUCAACUUUCUAAUCUGAUACAAAUCAGUUUCAAGAGUUGUUAUAAAAGUUGUUGAGAUUUUUAUUUUGUGGAGAAUAGCGGCGAUCACGACUUGGUGGUACCAUUCAUCUCAACACAAGCAUGGAUAAGAUCUCUUAAUUACUCCAUCAUUGACAAUUGGAGGCCAUGGAUGAUAAACAAUCAAGUUGCUGGAUACACUCAGACUUAUGCAAAUAAGAUGACAUAUGCUACUGUCAAAGCAAGUGAUCUUUUAUAUUUCCAUUGCAUUUAUACAAAUCUUUUCCGUAAACUUUACAUAGGAAAAGGUUUAAGAUUUGACUUUAAUUUAAUUUAAUUUACAGGGAGGUGGGCAUACAGCAGAAUAUAAACCAGAGGAAAGCUCUAUCAUGUUUCAAAGGUGGUUAACUGGCCAACUUCUAUAAAAUUGCCUCUUUGCAAUUCGUUGACUAGAUGAUCGUUAAUAAAACAAUCAUUCAUGCUUGUACUGUAGACCGUAUUUAUAUUUUAUUAUUCUUACAAUAUACCAAUUUUGUAUUAACCAUUAAAAUUAUGGUAUUGGAAUAAAAGGAAUCAUGAAUAACAAAUGUUCUAAAAAAAUGUACAAAAACAAAAUGGACUAAAAUGAACAAAUGAGGGGAAUUUCUAUAAAUGUACCAAAUUUUGUAAGAAAUUUGAAAAAUACACCCAAUUUGGUAAUUUGGAAACUACAGUUUUCCAUUGAAACUAGAUCAUCACCCGUACUAAAGUACGGGUUGAAUUUUAUUUAUUACAAAAUUUAUAUAAUAUAUAUAUUAGAAAUAAGUUUUAAUAUAUUAUAAUAGUAAGUGAAAAAAUAUUAAUUUUUUGUCAGUCCCUAUAUACAAUAUUAGAAUUAGAAUAAAUAUAGAUUUUUUUCUAUAAUACUCAAUUGUGGAUAAUUUUUUUUUUAAGAUAUGAAAACGGAAAAUAAUUUUAUUUUUUAAAAAGUAAUAUUUUUGGAACAAUGAGUUAAUUUAUGUUAACAACCACAAAAUAGGAUUGCAUAUAUUUCAGUUAGAUUAAAAAUUAAAAUAUCAUAAAUGAAUCGCAUAUAAAACAUAGAUUAUUUUGAACUAAUUAAGAAAAUUAACUAUUAUUUUGAAUUAAUUUAGAAAAUUCCUUUUCAAUUUAUAAUUUUUUGGUUGUUGAAAUUGAGAUUUGUUUGAGCUAAUCUAAUUACAGAAUUUGUUUGAGAUUUAUAACUACGGAUUUACCAAUUAUUCGCAUAAUCGAAUAUGUUAUAAACAUAUAUUUAGUAUAUAAUAAUACCAAAAUCAACCUGUGCGUGGAGUCUAUAUUUUUAUUUUAGAAUCUCAAUAUUUCAUUUUAAAAUAUUGUGUGCACAAUCUAUUAUUCGUUAAUUCUAAAAUUGCUUGCGGAAUCAAAUUUUCAUAUAUUUAGAGGUGUCAAACCAUAUUUAAAUGUUCUACACUAUUUUUAAAUAUUCCAAAUUAAAAUCUUUAAAUUUUUUUUGUAGUUUAUAAAAUUAUGAAUUUCAAAAAACAAAUUAUAUGAAAUUAAAUAUAACUAUUCAAAUAGUUAUAAGGAUCAAAACUCAUUUCAUCAUAUAAUAUAUUAUAUUUAACCUGCUACCUAUUAUAAAUAUUUUUUAAAAUAAUCAAAUUAGAGUAUUUAUAAUUUUUAACUUUUUGAGCUAUUAAGUAUUGAUGAUAUUCUCUAAAAAUAUCAAGUAAAACUUAUUUUAAAUAUUGCAAAUUAAAAUAUUUAAUUUUUUUUUAUUGUAGUAUAUAAAAUUAUACAUUUCAAAAAAAUAAAUUUAUGAAAUCGAAUAUAAAUAUUCAAAUUCUGAUCCGUUGUUCAGUCGGAAUUUUUGUUGAAUUUAUUUUUGUCUAAAAGAAAUAUAUUACUCAAGUCUGAAUUUUUGACCCGUUUAAUUGUUUCAUUUAUAGAUUGAACAAUUUAUAUGCGUUUUUAAAAAUUUAAAUCUUGGCAUUUGCAGAAAAAAAUUACUUUUUUUUUUUAUUAUGUAGAUGAUAUGAUGAUUUAUUUGUUUCAUAUAAAUAUAAUCAUAUAAAGAUGAGAAGUGAAGUCUAAUGAUUAAUAACAAAUUAAUAUGGUAAGUUAGAUAUCAAAUCUUAUAUGUUCAUCUUGAUUGGUCAUUUAAAAAAAAAAUAACAGAUUUUUGUUUUAUAAUUUAAUUAAAUUAAUUAAAUGACUUAAAUUAGUAUUUUACUUGUUUAUCCUUAAUAAAUUGAAUGAAAUUUGUUCAAAAAUAAGAUUUUUGUAAUGGUAUUCUUAAGUAAUUUUUUACACAAGAGAAGGUUAGUUAAGGGUAUCUUAUAAAGUGUACUCCCCAAAUAAUAGUAUAGGAUUUUACCAUAAUACCAUUUUAUAAAUUUUAAAAUAAGUAAAUUUAACCAAAAUUCGUAAUUAACUUUCUAAUAAUAUAAAAUUAAGAAAAUAUAUAUAAUACUGUGUAAAAUAUCAUUGUAUAUUUUUAAAAUAUAUAUAUAUAUAUAUAUAUAUAUAUAUAUAUAUAUAUAUAUAUAUAUAUAUAUAUAUGUAUAAGGGAGACUCACAAAAAUGCCCCUUUUUCAAUACCCCUUUUCAAAAAUGCCCCAUUUGGAUGUUCAUUUUUAAAAAUACCCCUUUUAUGUACAAAAUGACUAAACUACCCUUUUUUUAAUAAAAGAUAUCAUAAAUAUAUAAGGAAAUAUAACAAAAUUAGGUCCACAAAAUACAAANNNNNNNNNNNNNNNNNNNNNNNNNNNNNNNNNNNNNNNNNNNNNNNNNNNNNNNNNNNNNNNNNNNNNNNNNNNNNNNNNNNNNNNNNNNNNNNNNNNNUAUUUAUAAGGUUUUACAAUGUAUUUUAAAGUCCGCAAAACGCCAUUCCUAUCGCUAGAGAGAUUUUACAAGCUAUUUUAUAAGGUUUUUACAAGUUAUAAGGUUUUACAAGGUUUUUAUAAGGUUUUACAAGUUAUAAAUACCUUAUAAAACCUUAAAAGUACUUUGUAAAACCUUUUAAAAUACAUUGUAAAACCUUACAAAACAAUUGUAAAUACCUUGUAAAAAACCUUUAAAAUACCUUGUAAAUUUUUCCCGCCAAAAAUUUUCUCGCCAAAAAAAUUUCGCAAAAAAAAUUGCGGAAUCACUUUUCCCGCAAAAAAAAUUUUUUGGCGGGAAAAUUUUUUGACAGGAAAAAUUUUUACGGGAAAAUUUUACAAGGUUUUUUAAAGGUUUUUACAAGUGUUUUGGCGGGAAAAUUGCGGGAUCACUUUUCCCGCCAAAAAAUAUUUUGUAUUUUGUGGACCUAAUUUUGUUUCAAAUAAGGGUAAAAUGGUCAUUAAAAAUUAAAAGAGGGCAAACUUAAAAAUGGACUCUCAAAGGGGGUAUUUUUGAAAAGGGGUAUUGAAAAAGGGGCAUUUUUAACAAUUUCUCUAUGUAUAAUUAGUGUUGAUAAUAUUAUUUAUAUUUGUAAUUUCAUAUAAUUCAAAAGUUUAAAAUUUUAUAAAAAAUAAUUUCUAUAUUUUUUUCUCGAUAUUUUUUUUGUAGACUUAUUUCAUUUUGUGAUGACUGAUUAAUAAAGACGAUUUUUUAAACUACAUAUCGAGAGAUAAUAAAAGCUUUGAAAAUAUAAAAUCAAAAUUUUUAAUAAAAGUAUUUGUCACGUGCAGAUUUAGAUGGUCAUGGUGGCCCAUUUGAACGCCACACCUUGAAAGAACUAGAAAUGUGUACAUACUACAACACGACUUCAUCAAUGUCCCUUAUUAUACUUAUUUAAACAUAUUUAUGGGUACUUGUAUAUCUCUAACAACCGCAAUAACUUUAGCUACCCAUGGCUCUACGAAUCUGUCCAAAAUUUUUUUUCAAAAAUAUUAUACCCAAUAACCCAAUUCUGAAUUUGUUGUUGUUAGGAAGAAAGAACCCAACAAAAUAAAAAUAAAAUUAUUCCAAAUUGCUUACUUAGAUAUCGGCGUUAAAAAAAAAAAAAAACUUUUCUUUUGGGGGAUAGAAAUGUCGACAAAACCAACCUUACCAAUGUGGAAAACUGGAAAUGGCUCAUCCACACAAAUAUGGGGAAGAAGGGCCCCUAUUCAAAGGCUAUGAAAUAAAUAAAAAUGCUACCUAACUACUCCAUCUUCUUCUUUUAGUAGUUUAUAAACAUGUGUUUGUAUUUAUAAGGAAUCGAAUUCAUCAUUAGAAGCUACAAAAAUAAAAUGACUAAUCAUGAGUAUGUUCCAUCAAUGGUUCUAAUAAAGUUGUCGAUGCUGCUGCUUCUACUUGUCUUGACGCCACAUGCUGAUUCUGGCUCCAUUGUCAAGUUUCUUCCUGGUUUUGAAGGUCCUCUUCCUUUCGAGCUCGAAACCGGGUUUGUGUUUCUUAUAUCAUAUAUAUGAUCUUCUUGCAUGUGUUUUUGAGUUUUAAGGGUUAAAUUAUUUAGUAAGAUCAAUUGUUUGUGAUAAUGAAGGUAUAUUGGUGUUGGUGAAGAAGAAGAAGUGCAAUUGUUUUACUACUUUAUAAAAUCUGAGAAUAAUCCAAAAGAAGAUCCUCUUCUUCUCUGGUUAAGCGGUGGACCUGGUUGCUCUUCUGUCGCUGUCUUCUUUUUGAGAACGG